CUCCUCCUCUACCUCCUCCUCAGGUUAGAUACAGAACAGCAUCCCCGCACUGCAGCCUCCAUAUCACCAGGACGAAGAGAACACCAUUGGAAGAGCUCUUUUUGAAAACACAGGAAUGGAGACAGUAAAGACAGUACUAUAUAAAUUUUGGCAGAAAAGAGAAAAGAAAAGAAAGGAAGAGGAGACGUAAAGAGGUUUAGAAACACAAGACACCCAGACCGAGAAAGACUGCACACCUCACUGACUCACUCUCAGCCCGGGAUGAAUCUUCGCAUCAUAAGCUAAAACGGUCCUUAUUUUACCGCAGAGACACGGGAGGUUUAAGGCCCCCCUGCAAGAAAAUCCGGUACUUAUGCAGCGUACCCCAUCCAAACUAAGCCUUGAAAAUAUGGCACUAGGAAUGCGGAAAGGCCUGGCAGGUGAUGUAAAUCAACAAUUGGACCUGCGCUGCUUGCUGGAGACCAAAAGGAACAUAUUAACUCUGCUGCAUAGAUAUCCACGGGGCAUCGAGCUGGAUAAGUUUGUGGCCGCGUACCAGCAUGUGUUUAGAAAGGAGGUCAUCCCUGAGGAGUUUGGCUACAGGGGUGUGGCAGACAUGCUUCGAUCCCUUCACCAUAUCGUGGACCUGAGGCAUAAAGUGAAACUCCGCAAAGUUCUCUUCUCAAAGUACCACAGAGGUUCGUCCACUGGAGGUUGGAGUGGCACAAAACAGGAACCUCUAAUGCUGAUCAAGGAGAGGGUUCGAAAGGUGCUGAUGGGGUAUCCGAAUGGCCUGUACGCGGAGAACCUUAACCAGGCCUACUUUAUGAAGUAUAGGGAGUGGAUCUCUCCAAUGAAUUUAGGCUUCUCGGGCAUGGGGAAACUGGUGGACUCAUUUCAGGACGUUUUGGAGAUUAAAUGGGUUCAGCCGGAGGAGGGGAAGUGGAUUGUCCAUUUGAAGUCCACUGGAGGAGAUGUCAAACAAGAGAGAAAGGAGAUGGAGACACAAAGUAUGACACCACUGCCAGUCAAGCAAGGAAUGAACAAGACAAGUACACCAACACCUCCAGUCAACCAAGCAAUGGACAAGACAAGUACGCCAACACCUCCAGUCAA